UUUUGACCUCGGAUCAGGUAAGGGAUACCCGCUGAACUUAAGCAUAUCAAUAAGCGGAGGAAAAGAAACCAACAGGGAUUGCCCUAGUAACGGCGAGUGAAGCGGCAACAGCUCAAAUUUGAAAUCUGGCUCUUUUAGAGUCCCGAGUUGUAAUUUGCAGAGGGCGCUUUGGCUUUGGCAGCGGUCCAAGUUCCUUGGAACAGGACGUCACAGAGGGUGAGAAUCCCGUACGUGGUCGCUGGCUAUUGCCGUGUAAAGCCCCUUCGACGAGUCGAGUU
rnacentral:rRNA from 1 species